AUGGAAGAAGCAGGAAUGGGUUACAUGUGACUUGGAAGUGCUUGGAAUGCAAGAACUUUAGGUUUCAAUAUGAGAAGAAGCAGAUUAAAAAGAGCAAGUUUCUCGCCAAAGGAGAUGUUGGAGGAUGAAAUUAAAGCAAAGGAAAGCUGCAGACAGCAUGGGAAGGUGCUGGUGGUAGUGAACUACUGAAGAAGCAUCAACAAAUUGUGGGAAUGACAGCGGCAGACAACUUCCAGAGAAAGCCAGUGACACCCUGUGUGCAGAGGCACUUGAAUAAUGAGGAUGUAGUUGCUGCAGUGUUUGCUUUUUCAGUAAAUACAGAAAAAUUGAGAUGUAAAGAAGAGAACAU